AUAUAUAUAUAUAUAUAUAUAUUUAAUUAUGAUAAAAUUAUGCUAAUUUAUCAAAUUAUUUGAUUUGAAUUAAACAGUUUUUAUAGUUAAGCCCUUUAUUAGUUGUUAUCUAUAUAUAUAAAACAGGGUUUUCUCUCACCUUAGCCCUCCACAUCCCUUUUUAGGGGUGGGCAUUUGUUGACACGUGUCGCCUAAUCUGUCCCCCCGCGUUUUUUCCUUCUGUUCGGUUCUCGACAUACGCUUUUCUAUUUCGAGAUUUAAUUGUUUGUCCAUUAAACCAUCACAACUAAAAUUAUACGGCUUUUUAUAUGUAUCCCAUUAAAGGCCCACAUAUGUUUACUGAGUCUUCUGCGCCGAUGAGUGUUCCAAAGAACGUUACUGCUUCUCACUGAAUCAGACUUAAAGCGAUUACAUUAACUUCCUCAGGUCAAUUAACCCACUACGCCGACUUCAUAGACCCAUCUCCACCACCGAUUUGAUAAUCCCUAAUUCCUGAUAUCUAUAAAUAAGUCAUGAAGCCUCUCCAAAUCAAAUCGCACUGCUUCAUCAUAUUCAUUUGAUUGUUUCCUUACAAACUUUGAUUGCGUUAUGCUACUUCUAGAUCAGAAGGUGCGUGCUGUAAUUGUUUAAUUGUCAUGUUAUUCCCUCAAAGCUUCAUAUACUUUAAAUGUAAUUGUAUCGUUGUAGAUAUAAUGUUUUGGUGUAGUCAACCCCCAGUAUCGACAUUCUUUUUAAGUUGUCUACUUAUGUUUGAUUUCGUUUUGUCUUCUCCUCUACACGUUGGAUCAUCAUUUGAAUAUGAUUCUGGGCGAUUUGAAGAAGUUAUUACAACAUUAGAUAUUGAUGACUAUAUAUACGAAGAGAUUAUUCGGUUCUGGUGGAUUAGUUCGACUUCUCUCCAAGAUCCUCCAUGUCUAUGUCGAGAGAGCGUGGGUGGGACACUAUCAUGUCCCUGAGACUUGAUCCAAACACAUCAGCCUCGAUGAUAAUCUCUUUCUUGCUUUCUCGGAUUUAAAUUGGGAAAUGGUUUGAUUAUUUGAUAUCACUCGGCGUGGCUUAAUUAUAUGAUUUUGAUGGAGAAUUAUUGGUUUGGUUGAAGGGUAUGAUAGUCGCUCCAUGGUUCCAUUCCAUUGUUGUGCUCUGAGUGUUCGCGAAAAUAUGGGACUUCAUGAUCCAAUUCAGAUGCGUGCUUGGUCUCAAUAGAUUGAGGGAUAUUUAACCUGAAUUAAUCCUUUUGAAAAGAAAUUUGACUUAAGAUGAGAAAGAAGUCUGAUCAGAGGUAAGUAGUGGUUUGUUUGUGUCCUUUUUGUAUCCUCAUCGAGCUUUACUAACGUAAUUGCAAUGAACAAUUAUGUUUCAAGUGUGAUAAGUUUGUAGUAUCUUUUCCUGAUUUAACAUGAAGUCUGUGACUGUGUUUGUUGAUAAGAUGAUCUCUUUUAAUUUUUUUUUAAAAUAUGUGUUAAUCUACUAAAAAGCAGAAGGAAGGAGAGUUACAAAAGUUAUUUGUAGAAUUAAUUUUGUUUGGAUAAUUGGAUUCUGCUUCAAAAUGAUUUAACCAGAGACUUAAGAUUUGUCUGUGUCCAGUCAGGAGGCCUUGAUUAUGUCACGACCCAUAAGUUUUGUUUUGAUGAUGCUUUUGAUAUCUUGAUGAUGGAACCAUGAGGGUGAGAGAUAACAGAGGGCAAUCUUACAUUUCUCUUUCUCCAAAAAUCAAAUGAAGGUUUGUAUGAUGGGGUGAAAGUUAUUGCUUCUCUUCAGCCUAUCCAAUGCUCUUGAAAUUUCAAAAGUACUGAGAUGCAAGGGUAGAGUGAGAGCACAGGUCGUGGCUUAAUGUGCAGCUGACGAGGUCAUUUGCUUUAGCUGGGAGUAUGAUUAUGAAUUUUAUGUCGUAACAUGUAUGUGUUUUAUUUCAUUUGUUCCUUUAACCUUGAGCAUGAGCUACUGAAUAUCUUUAUUUGAUAUGCUACUGAAUUUAUUUGUUCGUUUAAAA